GACUGGAAUAGCUCUGUCAUUAGAGCAUAAGACUCUUAAUUUCAGGGUUGUGGGUUCGAGCCCCACAUCGGGCA